GUCCGCAUAGUGUAGUGGUUUUGCAUGUUUCCUUUACAUUGUGUUGAAUAAGCAUAUUGUUCGGAAAAGGUCCCAGGUUCGAGCCCUGGUGUGGACA